UUCGCAAUGCCCGAAAGGGUGACGAAGCGACGCCGCGUGUGGGAAGAAGGCUCUAGGGUUGUAAACCACUGUCAGGAGUUAAGAAAUGUAGAGGUGUUAAUAGUGCCUUUAUUUGACGAAGGCUCCAGAGGAAGCCACGGCUAACUCUGUGCCAGCAGCCGCGGUAAUACAGAGGUGGCAAGCGUUGUUCGGAAUUAUUGGGCGUAAAGAGCACGUAGGCGGUCCUGCAAGUCUGUUGUGAAAUCCUUCCGCUUAACGGGAGAACGGCAGCUGAUACUACAGGACUAGAGUACGGGAGGGGAGAGUGGAACUUCUGGUGGAGCGGUGAAAUGCGUAGAUAUCAGAAGGAACGCCGGCGGCGAAAGCGACUCUCUGGCCCGAAACUGACGCUGAGUGUGCGAAAGCUAGGGGAGCAAACGGGAUUAGAUACCCCGGUAGUCCUAGCCGUAAACGAUGGGCACUAAGUAGAGGGGUUUU
rnacentral:rRNA from 1 species